rnacentral:rRNA from 1 species
CAAGUCGAACGGACUCCAUGCAGUAGCAAUACUGCGGAAGAGUUAGUGGCGAACGGGUGAGUAUCACGUGAGAAACCAACCCCGGUCUCUGGGAUAACAGGUGGAAACACCUGCUAAUACCGGAUGCCGUCGUUUCCUCGCAUGGGGAGAUGACGAAAGGGCUACCGGAUCGGGACGGUCUCGCGGCCUAUCAGCUUGUUGGGGAGGUAACGGCUCACCAAGGCUUCGACGGGUAGCUGGUCUGAGAGGAUGAUCAGCCACACUGGGACUGAGACACGGCCCAGACUCCUACGGGAGGCAGCAGUGGGGAAUCUUGCGCAAUGGGCGAAAGCCUGACGCAGCAACGCCGCGUGCGGGAUGAAGGCCUUCGGGUUGUAAACCGCUUUUACCAGGAAGGAAAAUGACAGUACCUGGAGAAUAAGGUGCGGCCAACUACGUGCCAGCAGCCGCGGUGACACGUAGGCACCAAGCGUUGUCCGGAUUUAUUGGGCGUAAAGAGCUCGUAGGCGGUUCAGUAAGUCGGGUGUGAAAACUCUGGGCUCAACUCAGAGACGCCACCCGAUACUGCUGUGACUUGAGUCCGGUAGGGGAGUGGGGAAUUCCUGGUGUAGCGGUGAAAUGCGCAGAUAUCAGGAGGAACACCAAUGGCGAAGGCACCACUCUGGGCCGAGACUGACGCUGAGGAGCGAAAGCGUGGGUAGCAAACAGGAUUAGAUACCCUGGUAGUCCACGCCGUAAACGGUGGGCACUAGGUGCGGGUUCCAACCAACGGAAUCCGCGCCGGCGCUAACGCAUUAAGUGCCCCGCCUGGGGAGUACGGCCGCAAGGUUAAAACUCAAAGGAAUUGACGG